UCGCCUGUUUAUCAAAAACAUCGCCUCUUGCAAACAUUGAAGUAUUAGAGGUCCCGCCUGCCCUGUGACAGCAGUGUUUAACGGCCGCGGUAUUUUAACCGCGCGAAGGUAGCGUAAUCACUUGUCUUUUAAAUGGAGACCUGUAUGAAUGGCAUAACGAGGGUUUGACUGUCUCCUCCACCCGGUCAAUGAAAUUGAUCUGCCCGUGCAGAAGCGGGCAUAAGCACAUAAGACGAGAAGACCCUAUGGAGCUUUAGGCAAAUGACCAGGCAAAACAAGUCACGGCCCUUAAUAAGCCUAGAAAAACAAAAGCUAAUGAUCAAAAUGCCUUCGGUUGGGGCGACCAUGGAGGAAACAAAAUCCUCCAAGCGGAAAGGGACAACCCUUGAACCAAGAGAGACACCUCGAAGUAACAGAAUUUAUGACCAACUAUGACCCAGGAUUUAACCUGAUCAACGGACCUAGUUACCCUAGGGAUAACAGCGCAAUCCUCUCCCAGAGUCCCUAUCGACGAGGGGGUUUACGACCUCGAUGUUGGAUCAGGACAUCCUAAUGGUGCAGCCGCUAUUAAGGGUUCGUUUGUUCAACGAUUAACAGUCCUACGUGAUCUGAGUUCAGACCGG
rnacentral:rRNA from 1 species